GCCCUCCCUCUGGUUGCCGACCCUCCGGGGCUAGCGCCUGAGAUCCCUUUCCCAGAGUGCUCUGCGCUGUGAAGAAGCGGCUCCCGGGGACUGGGGGCAUUUUGUGUUGGCUGGAGCCGGAGUAACAAGAUGGCGGCGUCGGCGGAGUGACAGGAGUCCCUCCGGGCGGGAGCCGGCGGCAGUGGUGGCAGCGGUAUCGCCGCCCUAAACCACCGCGCCCCUUUUCCAGCCCGCGACGUCGCCGUGAAAGCGAGGCAGCGGCGGCCGCCCAGGAACAAGUGGCCCAGCCUGGUAACCGCGAGAACCCCCUCAUAAACUGCGGCCUGGCAAAAAGAAGCCGGACUGAGCGGCGGUGAUCAGGUUCCCCUUGACCGAGUCUCGGCCCUGUAACGCCUGGAAAGAGUCAGCGCUUGCCGUUUCCUGCCGCCCUCCUCCGCAGCCUGCUCAGUGGACGAGCCCCAGAGGCCUCUGUUCUCCCCUCAGAGGUGUCGGGGCUUGGCCCCAGCCUCCAUCUUCGUCUCUCAGGAUGGCGAGCAGCAGCGGCUCCAAGGCCGAAUUCAUUGUCGGAGGGAAAUAUAAACUGGUACGGAAGAUCGGGUCUGGCUCCUUCGGGGACAUUUAUCUGGCGAUCAACAUUACCAACGGCGAGGAAGUGGCAGUGAAGCUAGAAUCUCAGAAGGCCAGGCAUCCCCAGUUGCUGUACGAGAGCAAACUCUAUAAGAUCCUUCAAGGUGGGGUGGGCAUCCCCCACAUACGGUGGUAUGGUCAGGAAAAAGACUACAAUGUGCUAGUCAUGGAUCUUCUCGGACCCAGCCUCGAAGACCUCUUCAAUUUCUGUUCAAGAAGGUUCACAAUGAAAACUGUACUUAUGUUAGCUGACCAGAUGAUCAGUAGAAUUGAAUAUGUGCAUACAAAGAAUUUUAUACACAGAGACAUUAAACCAGAUAACUUCCUAAUGGGUAUUGGGCGUCACUGUAAUAAGUGUUUAGAAUCUCCAGUGGGGAAGAGGAAAAGAAGCAUGACUGUUAGUACUUCUCAGGACCCAUCUUUCUCAGGAUUAAACCAGUUAUUCCUUAUUGAUUUUGGUUUGGCCAAAAAGUACAGAGACAACAGGACAAGGCAACACAUACCAUACAGAGAAGAUAAAAAUCUCACUGGCACCGCCCGAUAUGCUAGCAUCAAUGCACAUCUCGGUAUUGAACAGAGUCGCCGAGAUGACAUGGAAUCAUUAGGAUAUGUUUUGAUGUAUUUUAAUAGAACCAGCCUGCCCUGGCAAGGACUAAAGGCUGCGACAAAAAAGCAAAAAUAUGAAAAGAUAAGUGAAAAGAAGAUGUCCACUCCUGUUGAAGUUUUAUGUAAGGGGUUUCCUGCAGAAUUUGCCAUGUACUUAAACUAUUGUCGUGGGCUGCGCUUUGAGGAAGCCCCGGAUUACAUGUAUCUGAGGCAGCUAUUCCGCAUUCUUUUCAGGACUCUGAACCACCAGUAUGACUACACAUUUGAUUGGACAAUGUUAAAGCAGAAAGCAGCACAGCAGGCAGCCUCUUCAAGUGGGCAGGGUCAGCAGGCCCAAACCCCCACAGGUCUUAAAGAUGAGAAGUUGGAUCCAGUGAGUUAGUAUGUUUCCUUGGAAAAAAAAUUGUAAUUAAACUUAAGUUUAAUCCUUAAUUUUGUAUUGUAACUAUUUUUCAUAAAAGCAACUUUAUAUAUCUUACACAGUUUUCGGGGCACUUGGCUGGCUCAGUAGAGCAUAUGGCUCUUGAUCUCAGGGCCUGAGUUUUAGCCCCACUUUGGGGGUAGAGUUCACCUAAAAAAAAUAAAAAAUCUUACGAAAUCUUCACGGCAGACACAGGGUUUAUAUAAAUUACUACAUAAACAUCAACUUGUAAAAUAUUGAAAAAUUGGAUUUUUCAUAAAAUGCAUCAUUUACCAUUGACUGCUUUCAGAGAGACAUUUUCAGGUGGUAUAUUUUGAUUCCAAGCAAAAUACUGCUUGCUACUAAAAUGUGCCAGGCCCUGGAAUACAAACAACAAAAUUGUGUUUGAUCUUUGGCUUCUCGAAACGUUUGUUUUGUCUUGGAUCUAGAAACUUAGUGCCCCAUACAGAUCUCAUGUGAAAUCCCCUCAGUAUAAAGCCAUGAAUGUGUACGGCAGGUUUGAAGGUGGCAUGAAAUAAGUUUGGGGAGCCUACUUCCCUAACCCCAGCCGUAUGUAUCCAGACCAUCUAUUGAGAAAUCUCCUAUGAAGUCUGGACUUUGAAGACAGUCCCUUUAGGUGACUUACUCCUUAUUUCAAUCUCUAUGUAAUUAGGGUGUUUAAAAGCAUGUUAUUCUCUUCGGGUCCACUACAGUCAUUUUUUUGUUCAAGGAAGAGCUCCCCUGCAGCUCAACUCUUCACUAAUUCCAAGAAAUCCUUUCAGUGACGGUAACAUCAUAUAAUACAUUUUUCUGGUUAAAACUUUAGAAGGCACUUACCUAAUACAUCCUAUCAGUUUUUGUUCACGGAAUUAUAUGCUGAGGUUUUCCAAAGCAGAGAAUUUGGUUUCUUAAAUGUAUCUUCAGCACAUGAAACUGUAUACUGCAGGGAUAUCUAUUCCUGGAAAAAUCCCCGGAACUGGUGGACAUAUUAAUAUAUUUUACGUUACUAGUUUUAGUUUUUGAAAAUUGUGUAUAUGGGACGUUUCUUCCAUGGAAAGGUGUGUGUGUAAUAAGUUGUUUCAGCAGUUCACUGUGAAUGUCCAAAAAGUCUUUUAAAGUCUGACUUACUCAGCUAAGAUGGGUUUAUUAUGUGUAAUAGACUUCUAUCCUAAUUACUUUUCUAAAGAAAAGAUCUUUUGAAGUACUCCAUUCCAAGGCCCAUCAAAAGACUAAGAAAUAAGGUGUUUCUUGUUUCUUGUAAAGCCCACUAUGAUAUGUACUAAUUUUCGGUGCUCUUAUGCCACAAGAUUAUAAUUAGUUUUUAUACAUGUUAAAGAGAAAAAUAAAAGAUUCACAUCUGAGACACUUCCAAAUUCAUUUCGCUUCCUUUUAUUCAACUGUAUGUGGUUAUCAGGAAAGUAGUUUUUAAGACAUUUAGGAAGUACUAAAGGGAAAAGGAAAUCUUUUUAGGACAUUCAGAAUCCAGUUGGGUUCACCAUUUCUUUAGUUGAGGUCAGAGAUGGGGAGAAUUUCAGAAGGUAGUGAAGCCAAAGUUGGAUCCUUACAUAAUUCUGUUAUCAUCUCAGUCCCUCUGUUCACUACUCCAAGCCGUUGAUAUUAAGCAUAGUUUUAUCAUAAUCACAUACGUGGAUGUCAGAUUGUUGACAGUCAAAAAAGAGAAAUUUUUUUCUAUCACAUUCUCCUACCAUGUCCAUGGUCUUCCUUGAAUUACCUUCCAGUGUUUACUGGAAUUCACCUACCAUUUAUGUCUAGCUUAACUUUUUCUGACUUCACCAAUUGCUGCUAGGAACGUGGCUGGUCACUCAGCAACGUAACCCAAAUCACAGGGGAAGACCUUGAAAUAAUCUGGAGACUGAUCUUCUCUGAAUACACUCAAUCUAAAGAAGUGCCAGGGAGCUGCAUCUGCUUGCUGAAAUUUUUGUCAGCUUUUUUCAUUGUGGACACUACCACUGGAGAGAAAAGAGCUCAGUAACCCAACAGGAAAUGAAGACGAGUGUGCAAGAAUUGAUUUGUGGUCAUCUGAAUGAAUCUCACAUCUCCAAGGCUGGCUGGACUUACCAAACAUGAACUUGUCAGAAAAUCUGGACGAUACCACAACAGUCAGAAGACCUAGAGGAGUACAGUGUUGCUGUGACUCAGUGGUGUAUAAUGCAGACCAUCUACCAGUUGGGGAAGGAAUCAAUUGUAACAGGAGCAAAGGGAUCCCUUCCUUAUUUUAACUGGUGUUGCAGUGAAGAUGGGUGUUUGGACUUUUAGAAGCCAGGAGACACCACCUAAAUUACAAGAUAAAAACCAAGGAAUCAAUGCACACUGGAAAAAGGAAUGUACUUGAAGAUUGAAUGUUGAAUACUUGCUGAAUGCUCCCAUUGAGAUUUUUCCUACAUAAACUUGAGUAACAUCUUAGGACAAUUCUCUGGAGAAACAUUGAUCCCUGGGUGGAGUAUCCUACCAUUGGCCAAUCUGAAGAGUUACAUCUGGAUCUGACUGCUCUAUUCCUCCAGGAAUAUUUUUAGGCUAGCCUCUGUCUGAUUCCUAAGCAAUUGUAAUCAUUAACUGACCCAGUAAUUUCUCAAAUAUCAGAUGAACAGAUACAAUUCUUACCUAGAUCUAAUUUUUAUCCCUAUUAAAGACACAAGAGUGUUCUAAUAUUUUGACAUUGUAACUUACGUUUUGUUUUUAGUUAGUGAUAGCGGUUUCUAUUUUAAAGCUGUUUGGAUAUUCAACGUAGUAAUUAGAUUAUUCAGUAUAACGUAAUCACAUAGCAAGGUGUGGUAAACAGUUUCAAGCUGUGUAAACAUUUUUCUUGAUCAUAUUUAAGAAUAAUUGCAGGACUUGAAAUCAAAUGCACAUCAGGGUAAGGGUCACCUCUAAUUAGCUAAUUCAUAGUUUUAAUUUGCUUCACAGUAUUCUGUAUUUUAACAUUGGAAUUACGUUACAGAAUAUGGUCUUAAUUUUAAGGGUUUUAAUUCAGGUUUGAUCUGACAGCCUUUUCUUUUUGUGCUUACUUUGCUAAUUCUCUUUAGUAAUAUAUACCAAAUAGAAUAUUCCUUGUGAUGAAGUUCAUUUUCAGAAAUCUUCAUAAAAUUUUUCAUUUUGGCAUUUACUUUAUGAAUUUAGUACUUGGGCAGGCAACAGAGGUUUAUUUUAUUUAUUUUUUUUAACAGAGGUUUAUUUUAUGUCUACUCUGAUAGUCGGCGUAGAGAGCGAAAGAAUGUGUACAGCACUGUCCUCAGAGUGUUAGCACAAUAUGUUUUUAAACGAAUUAAGAUGACUUUCAGCCCUCAAAUGAACAAAUUCCUAAUUAACAAGUGAGCCCAUAUUUCCCCAAAAAUGAUAUAUAAAUGUUUGGUGUUAUCUUUCCGGGGGGCGGGGGAGGGGUGUGUGGGGAGGCAUAGAUUUUAGAAGCGUAUUAUUUGUUCCACAGAGCCCAUUGGAAAUGGUCCAGCGAAUGUUUGAGAAGCACAAAGAAGGGAGAAGUUUAUGAUGAAUAAAAACAUGGUUUCCAUGCUGAAUUUAGAAGUGAGAGAUCAGAGUGGGCUAGAAAGAGCUAUAAUGAGGCCAGCUAUAGGGGUUUGGAAGGGGGUGAACCAAGGGGCAUGGUCACCUCAAGGGAAGGCUUUUGGUGAGAAGAGGUGGUACUGAUGGGGUUUUCGUGUUUUGGCUGAGGAAUGGGCAUACUUCCUUUCUGCCUUGAGCCACAGAUAAAGCUUGUAGGUAAUAGAGAUAAGCAUUUGCUCUAGUGGUCUUUUGCCACAGAUGGAACAUGCAGCUGUUACUACCCGAGGCUGGUUUCUAUUCAAACCUGCCUAUGUGUGGAAGUCUUAAGAGUCUAAUUGUGGCAGAGGGAGGUAGUGUUUACAGGGUGGGAAGGCUUGCAAAGUAAAUAAAGCCAAAACAAAAAAGCCUCACUUGUUUAGGUUUUCAAAUCCAGGGCAAAACUUUUUAAAUGUAUUAUUGGUGGAAGUACAACGUUUUUAAAGGUUUAAGGUUUCUGUGAUAAAAAUCAUACUGACCAGGUUUGUGUUCUAUGGAAUAACUCAAUUAUGUCUUGAAUACAUUUAUUAUUAAAGCUUAUUGCUCCUUAUUUGGAUCAGAAAUAAUGUGCAGAAAAGUUCCUGCAUAUAGUAUGAUUAAGACUAUAGUUUGUAAUUUUUAAGGCAAAACCAUCUUUUCAUUUGUUUGAUAAAUAUUUGAACACAUUCUGUGCUCUAGGUACUAGAAGUCUAGAAAUAAAUAAAACAGGCUCAUUGGAAUUCCCAGUAAUUCUCGGGCCUGAAAAGUGUA